GGCUUGCGAGAGGCUCUGGUCCAGGAGCUGGAUGAGAAAUGUGUGGGAGUGUGUAGGUGUUUGAGGGGUGCUGGGAAAGCUCAGAAGGGCAUCAGUAAAGAUGGAGAGAUGGAAAUCCAAGCAAUAGGAUGUCCGCUGAAUGGAAGUUUUGAGGAGAGAACAGAGGAGGAGUCUGAGGCCUCGAGUAGGAAUGCCGAAAACACAUCCUUUCUCUUCAACAGUCAAAAAAAGCCAAGAGACCUGAACUGGAGCUGAGAGGGUGAGACGUUGAGGAAGUUCAAGCAACAAGCAAACAUCUCUCCAUAAACAGAAAUGGCAAGGCAUCUGCUGAAAGAAGGGAGGAAGGAUCUUGAUAACUCUUCUGGUCAUAUUCUAUUAAAAUUCCUGAGGGCUUUGUAUCAACACAUACAAAUAAAUAAUUACAAAAUUAACUGCUUAUCUCCCAUAUGCCAACCUUUGUGAAAAUACACACACAAACCACUGACUUAUGUGAAGAAAAGUUUCAUUACUAAUGGGAAA